rnacentral:rRNA from 1 species
UACGAAGGGGGCUAGCGUUGCUCGGAAUCACUGGGCGUAAAGGGUGCGUAGGCGGGGCUUUAAGUCAGGGGUGAAAUCCUGGAGCUCAACUCCAGAACUGCCUUUGAUACUGAGGAUCUUGAGUUCGGGAGAGGUGAGUGGAACUGCGAGUGUAGAGGUGAAAUUCGUAGAUAUUCGGAGGAACACCAGUGGCGAAGGCGGCUCACUGGUCCGGUACUGACGCUGAGGUGCGAAAGCGUGGGGAGCAAACAGG